rnacentral:rRNA from 1 species
GAUGAACGCUAGCUGGAGGCUUAAUACAUGCAAGUCGAGCGGGAUUGGGUAGCAAUACCCAUGAGAGCGGCGCACGGGUGAGUAACGCGUACACGACCUACCUCUAACAGGGGGAUAGCACUGGGAAACUGGGAUUAAUACCGCAUAUAAUUCUGAAUAAUAAAGGUUUGGAAUGAAAGCUGAGGCGGGUAGAGAUGGGUGUGCGUCUGAUUAGCUAGGUGGUAGGGUAACGGCCUACCAAGGCGAUGAUCAGUAGGGGGCGUGAGAGCGUGGUCCCCCACACGGGUACUGAGACACGGACCCGACUCCUACGGGAGGCAGCAGUAAGGAAUAUUGGUCAAUGGGCGAAAGCCUGAACCAGCCAUCCAGCGUGCAGGAAGAAGGCCCUAUGGGUUGUAAACUGCUUUUAUCAGGGAAGAAACCUCUGGAUUUACUCCGGAGCUGACGGUACCUGAAGAAUAAGCACCGGCUAACUCCGUGCCAGCAGCCGCGGUAAAAC